rnacentral:rRNA from 1 species
UACGUAGGGUGCGAGCGUUGCCCGGAUUUAUUGGGCGUAAAGGGCGCGUAGGCGGCCACGCACGUCCGUUGUGAAAUCGCCCGGCUCAACUGGGCGGGGUCAGCGGAUACGGUGUGGCUAGAGCAAGCUAGGGGGCAAUGGAAUUCCCGGUGUAGUGGUGGAAUGCGUAGAUAUCGGGAGGAACACCUAUGGCGAAGGCAGCUCGCUGGGACGUUACUGACGCUGAGACGCGAAAGCGUGGGGAGCAAACAGGG